rnacentral:rRNA from 1 species
UGAUGUAGGGAAGCUUGCUCUGGAUUCAGCGGCGGACGGGUGAGUAAUGCCUAGGAAUCUGCCUGGUAGUGGGGGAUAACGUCCGGAAACGGGCGCUAAUACCGCAUACGUCCUGAGGGAGAAAGUGGGGGAUCUUCGGACCUCACGCUAUCAGAUGAGCCUAGGUCGGAUUAGCUAGUUGGUGGGGUAAAGGCCUACCAAGGCGACGAUCCGUAACUGGUCUGAGAGGAUGAUCAGUCACACUGGAACUGAGACACGGUCCAGACUCCUACGGGAGGCAGCAGUGGGGAAUAUUGGACAAUGGGCGAAAGCCUGAUCCAGCCAUGCCGCGUGUGUGAAGAAGGUCUUCGGAUUGUAAAGCACUUUAAGUUGGGAGGAAGGGCAGUAAGUUAAUACCUUGCUGUUUUGACGUUACCAACAGAAUAAGCACCGGCUAACUUCGUGCCAGCAGCCGCGGUAAUACGAAGGGUGCAAGCGUUAAUCGGAAUUACUGGGCGUAAAGCGCGCGUAGGUGGUUCAGCAAGUUGGAUGUGAAAUCCCCGGGCUCAACCUGGGAACUGCAUCCAAAACUACUGAGCUAGAGUACGGUAGAGGGUGGUGGAAUUUCCUGUGUAGCGGUGAAAUGCGUAGAUAUAGGAAGGAACACCAGUGGCGAAGGCGACCACCUGGACUGAUACUGACACUGAGGUGCGAAAGCGUGGGGAGCAAACAGGAUUAGAUACCCUGGUAGUCCACGCCGUAAACGAUGUCGACUAGCCGUUGGGAUCCUUGAGAUCUUAGUGGCGCAGCUAACGCGAUAAGUCGACCGCCUGGGGAGUACGGCCGCAAGGUUUAAAACUCAAAUGAAUUUGACGGGGGCCCGGCACAAGGCGGUUGGGAGCAUGUGGUUUUAUUUCGAAGCACGCGAAGACUAACUGGACUGAACAUGCCUGAGAACUUUUCUCCAGGAG